GUUUUAAUAAUUUAAUAAAAAAUAUUGGUUUUGUAAAUCAAAAAUAAGGUUUCUUUUAAAACA
rnacentral:tRNA from 1 species